rnacentral:rRNA from 1 species
UACAGAGGUCUCAAGCGUUGUUCGGAUUCAUUGGGCGUAAAGGGUGCGUAGGCGGCGCGGUAAGUCGGGUGUGAAAUCUCGGAGCUUAACUCCGAAACUGCAUUCGAUACUGCCGUGCUUGAGGACUGGAGAGGAGACUGGAAUUUACGGUGUAGCGGUGAAAUGCGUAGAUAUCUGGAGGAAUACCGGUGGCGAAGGCGGCAUCCUGGACCGACAUUGACGCUGAGGAGCGAAAGCCAGGGGAGCAAACGGGG